rnacentral:ncRNA from 1 species
AGUUUUAUCCUGGCUAAUAUUUCUUGUUUUUAAGUUGAAGGUACAUGAUAGUGUUGGCGUGACAAAAGGCUCAUUUUAUUUAAUAUAGGGUUAGUUAGUGAAAGGAGAGUGAUCAAUAAAAAGUUAAUUCUCAGUAUUUAGUGCUAAUUUAUAAAUGCAAAUUGGAAUUGGUAAUCUUAAUUUUUUUUUUUUUAUCUGGCUAAAAUUUGUGCCAGCAGCCGCGGUUAUACUGAGAGGUAGAUUAAGAAAAGUUUGGUUAAAAAUAAUUAGGUGAUAAUUAGCUUAAAAUUAUUUAUAGAUUCUUGUUAAUAAAGGGUGAAAUCGGUUUUUUAAGAUAAGAAGUGUUGAAGAUGUAAAGCUUAAAUUGAGGUUGUUAAGUUAAAGGUAUGGACCAGGAUUAGAUACCCUGUUACACUUUAUUUAAAAUUUAUGGUACCUGGGUAAUAAACAGUUAUUGUCUUGAAACUCAAAGGAUUUGGCGGUAAUUUAGUCUAUUUAGAGGAACCUGUCCUAUAAUCGAUAAACCACGAAGUAUCUUACCUUAUUUAGUAGAGAUCAGUUUGUAUACCGUCAUUAUUAGAUAACUUUAAUAAAAACUAGUUGUUGUAAUAAUUUUUAAUAUAUUAGAUCAAGGUGCAGCCAAUAAUAAGGUAGAGAUGGGUUACAAUAAAAUAAAUGUAUAACGGAUUAAUAAAUGAAAUUUUUUUUUAUGAAGGUGGAUUUAAUAGUAAGAAUGAUUUAAUAAGUCAUUUUGAUUAUAGCUCUAGAUUAUGUACACAUCGCCCGUCGCUCUCGUUAAUUAAAGCGAGAUAAGUCGUAACAUAGUAGGUGUACUGGAAAGUGUACCUAGAAAUU